rnacentral:rRNA from 1 species
UAGGGAAUCUUCGGCAAUGGGGGCAACCCUGACCGAGCAACGCCGCGUGAGUGAAGAAGGUUUUCGGAUCGUAAAGCUCUGUUGUAAGUCAAGAACGAGUGUGAGAGUGGAAAGUUCACACUGUGACGGUAGCUUACCAGAAAGGGACGGCUAACUACGUGCCAGCAGCCGCGGUAAUACGUAGGUCCCGAGCGUUGUCCGGAUUUAUUGGGCGUAAAGCGAGCGCAGGCGGUUUGAUAAGUCUGAAGUUAAAGGCUGUGGCUCAACCAUAGUUCGCUUUGGAAACUGUCAAACUUGAGUGCAGAAGGGGAGAGUGGAAUUCCAUGUGUAGCGGUGAGAUGCGUAGAUAUAUGGAGGAACACCGGUGGCGAAAGCGGCUCUCUGGUCUGUAACUGACGCUGAGGCUCGAAAGCGUGGGGAGCGAACAGGAUUAGAUACCCUGGUAGUCCACGCCGUAAACGAUGAGUGCUAGGUGUUGGAUCCUUUCCGGGAUUCAGUGCCGCAGCUAACGCAUUAAGCACUCCGCCUGGGGAGUACGACCGCAAGGUUG